AAAUGUGAGGGUUAUCUGGCUGUAACAUAUAUCACCCAUUGAUUGACAAGGUUGAGUCAGUGGAUCCAACCAGCUGGGCAGGUGUCCCCUUCCUCCCUCACUGCUUCAUGUGCAUCUGUCCCAAAAUUGUACGCUCACAGAGGACAACUUGCCCUGAUGGAGAAGGACUAUUCUUUGGUCAAGGGUAUACUAGUAGCUUCACUGUCCUGCCAGAACUUCCAAACAAGCUCUCAGAGUCCAGUUAGCUGUGGUUGCUUUGUGUGCCACCAUGCCU
rnacentral:snRNA from 1 species